GAUCCUGGCUCAGGAUGAACGCUGGCGGCGUGCAUAACACAUUCAAGUCGAACGGACGAGAGGACUUCGGUCCUCGAGUUAGUGGCGGACGGGUGAGUAACGCGUGAGCAACCUGCCUCUGUGUGUGGGAUAACGUCUGGAAACGGACGCUAAUACCGCAUAACGCAUAUUGACUGCAUGAUCGGUAUGCCAAAGAUUUAUUGCGCAGAGAGGGGCUCGCGU
rnacentral:rRNA from 1 species